rnacentral:rRNA from 1 species
GACGAACGCUGGCGGCGUGCCUAAUACAUGCAAGUAGAACGCUGAAGCUUGGUGCUUGCACCGAGCGGAUGAGUUGCGAACGGGUGAGUAACGCGUAGGUAACCUGCCUGGUAGCGGGGGAUAACUAUUGGAAACGAUAGCUAAUACCGCAUAAGAGUAGAUGUUGCAUGACAUUUGCUUAAAAGGUGCAAUUGCAUCACUACCAGAUGGACCUGCGUUGUAUUAGCUAGUUGGUGAGGUAACGGCUCACCAAGGCAACGAUACAUAGCCGACCUGAGAGGGUGAUCGGCCACACUGGGACUGAGACACGGCCCAGACUCCUACGGGAGGCAGCAGUAGGGAAUCUUCGGCAAUGGACGGAAGUCUGACCGAGCAACGCCGCGGGAGUGAAGAAGGUUGUCGGAUCGUAAAGCUCUGUUGUAAGAGAAGAACGAGUGUGAGAGUGGAAAGUUCACACUGUGACGGUAGCUUACCAGAAAGGGACGGCUAACUACGUG